GAUGAACGCUGGCGGCGUGCCUAAUACAUGCAAGUCGAGCGAACGAACGAGAAGCUUGCUUCUCUGAUGUUAGCGGCGGACGGGUGAGUAACACGUGGAUAACCUACCUAUAAGACUGGGAUAACUUCGGGAAACCGGAGCUAAUACCGGAUAAUAUUUUGAACCGCAUGGUUCAAAAGUGAAAGACGGUCUUGCUGUCACUUAUAGAUGGAUCCGCGCUGCAUUAGCUAGUUGGUAAGGUAACGGCUUACCAAGGCAACGAUGCAUAGCCGACCUGAGAGGGUGAUCGGCCACACUGGAACUGAAACACGGUCCAGACUCCUACGGGAGGCAGCAGUAGGGAAUCUUCCGCAAUGGGCGAAAGCCUGACGGAGCAACGCCGCGUGAGUGAUGAAGGUCUUCGGAUCGUAAAACUCUGUUAUUAGGGAAGAACAUAUGUGUAAGUAACUGUGCACAUCUUGACGGUACCUAAUCAGAAAGCCACGGCUAACUACGUG
rnacentral:rRNA from 1 species